rnacentral:rRNA from 1 species
AUGCAUCUUGCCUGCCGGUCUGCUCUUUUUUGGAUCCCUGGGCAGAAGGCUAUCACCUUGCAGGUUGUUGUCUGGAUCAUAUGGACAACAUGCACAGUCAUGAUGCUGUUAUCCGUUUUCCAUCAAUUGCGGAGAGAUGUGUGGAGCUGGAUUUCAUUCGUCGUCCACCCGGUGGCCGUGGGCGGUUGUUGCCAGGGUCGUGUGGACAGUAUGUGCAGUCACGCUGCCGCUACCCGUUCUACAUCAACUGACGGCUUCAAAUUAUUCAAGGAGAGCACAGCUUACAAGGAUUUGCGGGCAUCGAAGUUUGAUCCGGACAUGGAGCUGCAUUUCGCCGUCGACCCUGUCGCGUGGGCGUCAGCUGAUGUAGAUCCCUGA